rnacentral:rRNA from 1 species
AUUGAACGCUGGCGGCAUGCCUUACACAUGCAAGUCGAACGGCAGCAUGAUCUAGCUUGCUAGAUUGAUGGCGAGUGGCGAGCGGGUGAGUAAUACAUCGGAACGUGCCCUGUAGUGGGGGAUAACUAGUCGAAAGAUUAGCUAAUACCGCAUACGACCUGAGGGUGAAAGUGGGGGACCGCAAGGCCUCAUGCUAUAGGAGCGGCCGAUGUCUGAUUAGCUAGAUGGUGAGGUAAAGGCUCACCAAGGCGACGAUCAGUAGCUGGUCUGAGAGGACGAUCAGCCAGACUGGGACUGAGACACGGCCCAGAGUCCUACGGGAGGCAGCAGUGGAGAAUUUUGGACAAUGGGCGAAAGCCUGAUCCAGCACUGCCGCGUGUGUGAAGAAGGCCUUCGGGUUGUAAAGCACGUUUGUCCGCAAAGAAAUGGCUCUGGUUAAUACCUGGGGUCGAUGACGGUACCGGAAGAAUAAGGACCGGCUAACUACGUG